AACGAACGCUGGCGGCGGGCUUAACACAUGCAAGUCGAGCGAGACCUUCGGGUCUAGCGGCGGACGGGUGAGUAACGCGUGGGAACGUGCCCUUCUCUACGGAAUAGCCCCGGGAAACUGGGAGUAAUACCGUAUACGCCCUUUGGGGGAAAGAUUUAUCGGAGAAGGAUCGGCCCGCGUUGGAUUAGGUAGUUGGUGGGGUAAUGGCCCACCAAGCCGACGAUCCAUAGCUGGUUUGAGAGGAUGAUCAGCCACACUGGGACUGAGACACGGCCCAGACUCCUACGGGAGGCAGCAGUGGGGAAUCUUAGACAAUGGGGGCAACCCUGAUCUAGCCAUGCCGCGUGAGUGAUGAAGGCCUUAGGGUUGUAAAGCUCUUUCAGCUGGGAAGAUAAUGACGGUACCAGCAGAAGAAGCCCCGGCUAACUCCGUG
rnacentral:rRNA from 1 species